rnacentral:rRNA from 1 species
GACGAACGCUGGCGGCGUGCUUAACACAUGCAAGUCGAACGGAAAGGCCCUGCUUUUGUGGGGUGCUCGAGUGGCGAACGGGUGAGUAACACGUGAGUAACCUGCCCUUGACUUUGGGAUAACUUCAGGAAACUGGGGCUAAUACCGGAUAGGAGCUCCUGCUGCAUGGUGUGGGUUGGAAAGUUUCGGCGGUUGGGGAUGGACUCGCGGCUUAUCAGCUUGUUGGUGGGGUAGUGGCUUACCAAGGCUUUGACGGGUAGCCGGCCUGAGAGGGUGACCGGCCACAUUGGGACUGAGAUACGGCCCAGACUCCUACGGGAGGCAGCAGUGGGGAAUAUUGCACAAUGGGCGGAAGCCUGAUGCAGCAACGCCGCGUGCGGGAUGACGGCCUUCGGGUUGUAAACUGCUUUCGCCUGUGACGAAGCGUGAGUGACGGUAAUGGGUAAAGAAGCACCGGCUAACUACGUG